ensembl:ncRNA R01E6.17 ncRNA
AAAAAGGGAAGGUUAUUGAAACUGGAUCCAAUUAAUUGGGGAAGAGAAACUAAGGCUUCGCAGUA